ACUUCCAAAUUAUAGGGGUUCCAGAAGAAGACAGAGAGCAAGAUAUUGAAAACCUAUUUGAAGAAAUAAUGACAGGAACCUUCCCCUACCUGGUGAAAUAAAUAGACUUACAAGUCCAGUAAGCACAGAGAGUCCCAAACAGGGGUAUCCCAAAGAGGCCCAAAUCAUGACACAUCAUGAUUAAUAUAUCAAGGGUUAAAGACAAAGAGAGAAUCUAAAAAGGCAGCAAGAGAAAAGCAGUUAGUUACC